rnacentral:rRNA from 1 species
AGGAUCAUUAACGAAUAUAAUUCGAGGGGUUGUCGCUGGCCUCGCUCGCGCGAGGCAUGUGCACGCUUCUCGUUUUUCUCUCAACUCACCUGUGCACCUAAUGUAGGAUGCCUCUCCUCCGGGAGGGGGGACCUAUGUCUUCAUAACAUCUUCGUGUAGAAAGUCUUUGAAUGUUUACUAUCAUCGAGUCGCGACUUCUAGGAGACGCGAUUCUUUGAAAUAAAAGUUAUUACAACUUUCAGCAACGGAUCUCUUGGCUCUCGCAUCGAUGAAAAACGCAGCGAAAAGCGAUAUGUAAUGUGAAUUGCAAAUCUACAGUGAAUCAUCGAAUCUUUGAACGCACCUUGCGCUCCUCGGUGUUCCGAGGAGCAUGCCUGUUUGAUUGUCAGUAAAUUCUCAACCCCUCUCGAUUAGCUUUGAGAGGGCGCUUGGAUAGUGGAGGUUGCCGGAGACUUGGAUUCGUCCGAGACUCGGGCUCUUCUGAAAUGCAUCGGCUUGCGGUCGACUUUCGACUAUGUGCGACAAGGCUUUCGGUGUGAUAAUGAUCGCCGUUCGCUGAAGCGCAUGACUGAAUGUCCCGUGCCUCUAAUAUGUCGACCGCUUAUUAUCUCUCCGGAGAGAACACGGUCUUCCUUAUUGACUUUUGACCUCAAAUCAGGUAGGACUACCCGCUGAACUUAAGCAUAUCAAUAA